rnacentral:rRNA from 1 species
UCCUCCUUUUUCAAACUUUGCUCGGAAUUAUUGGGCGUAAAGCGCACGUAGGCGGCUCUGUAAGUCGGAUGUGAAAUCCCUCGGCUUAACCAAGGAAGUGCAUCCGAAACUGCAAGGCUUGAGUACUUAAGAGGAUCGCGGAAUUCCCGGUGUAGCGGUGAAAUGCGCAGAUAUCGGGAAGAACACCCGUGGCGAAGGCGGCACUCUGGGACGGUACUGACGCUGAGGAGCGAAAGCGUGGGGAGCGAACAGG